UAUGUAAGCUGUAGCCAAAGAAACAGAUCACAGGCCACACUAAAAUUGUGAACUUCAUGGCAAUUGCUCCAGUCCCACCUGCUCCAGAUACCUAAAUCAUGAAGGCUUACUAGCAAACCUGUUUCUGGAUAUCUGCUAUUGGAUAACAAACUACGGGGAAACCUAGUGACUUAUUACCGUGGAUUAUUGCCCCUCGUGUUUCAAUGGAAACUCUGACAAAUUACAGUUCACAAAUGGUGGAAAACAGCAAGUGGAAAAGGCUAGUUCACCAAAGCGAAAGAUUAUAAUAUGACAAUCUGAAAGGCAGCAGAAAGCAGAUGGAGGUCACCAGUGUCGGUCUCAACACUUCAGCUGCACUGGAUGGGAUCCUGUUGCAUCCCCCAGUGUCACAGGAAUGUGGCAAAGAAUGUUGAAACAAUGAACAACAAAUAUAUAAAACAUUUAAGUAU
rnacentral:lncRNA from 10 species